rnacentral:rRNA from 1 species
UACGGGGGGUGCAAACGUUGCUCGGAAUUAUUGGGCGUAAAGCGCACGUAGGCGGUCCUGUAAGUCGGGUGUGAAAGCCCCAGGCUUAACCUGGGAAGUGCACUCGAAACUGUAGGGCUUGAGUACGGAAGAGGGUCUCGGAAUUCCCGGUGUAGAGGUGAAAUUCGUAGAUAUCGGGAGGAACACCAGUGGCGAAGGCGGAGACCUGGGCCGAUACUGACGCUGAGGUGCGAAAGCGUGGGGAGCAAACAGG